GACGAACGCUGGCGGCGUGCUUAACACAUGCAAGUCGAACGGAAAGGCCCUGCUUUUGUGGGGUGCUCGAGUGGCGAACGGGUGAGUAACACGCGAGUAACCUGCCCUUGAAUUUGGGAUAAAUUCAGGAAACUGGGGCUAAUACCGGAUAGGAGCUCCUGAUGCAUGGUGGGGGUUGGAAAGUUUCGGCGGUUGGGGCUGGACUCGCGGCUUAUCAGCUUGUUGGUGGGGUAGUGGAUUACCAAGGCUUUGACGGGUAGCCGGCCUGAGAGGGUGACCGGCCACAUUGGGACUGAGAUACGGCCCAGACGCCUACGGGAGGCAGCAGUGGGGAAUAUUGCACAAUGGGCGGAAGCCUGAUGCAGCAACGCCGCGUGCGGGAUGACGGCCUUCGGGUUGUAAACCGCUUUCGCCUGUGACGAAGCGUGAGUGACGGUAAUGGGUAAAGAAGCACCGGCUAACUACGUG
rnacentral:rRNA from 1 species